CCUACGGGAGGCAGCAGUGGGGAAUAUUGCACAAUGGGGGAAACCCUGAUGCAGCGACGCCGCGUGAGUGAAGAAGUAUUUCGGUACGUAAAGCUCUAUCAGCAGGGAAGAAAAUGACGGUACCUGACUAAGAAGCCCCGGCUAACUACGUUCCAGCAGCCGCGGUAAUACGUAGGGGGCAAGCGUUAUCCGGAUUUACUGGGUGUAAAGGGAGCGUAGACGGCAGCGCAAGUCUGGAGUGAAAUCCCAUGGCUUAACCAUGGAACUGCUUUGGAAACUGUGCAGCUAGAGUGCAGGAGAGGUAAGCGGAAUUCCUAGUGUAGCGGUGAAAUGCGUAGAUAUUAGGAGGAACACCAGUGGCGAAGGCGGCUUACUGGACUGUAACUGACGUUGAGGCUCGAAAGCGUGGGGAGCAAACAGGAUUAGAUACCCCAGUAGUC
rnacentral:rRNA from 1 species